UACUAAUCUAUCCUAUACUAAAAGGAACAUAUAAAGCUCCCACAUUGCUCCUCAGAUUAAUUAUAAUCAACCAAUCAGAAUUCAUUAUUUUUGCCAUGUCACACUCUAAUUGGGCUGAUUUUGUUGCUGAUCCGUAAGCCCACAAUAUUGUUAGGCUAUAUUAGUUAUUAAUGCACAUGUUUUGUUAUUAAUUAGUAUAUAUGAUAUUUUGGUCCAGUAGCCCAAUACACCAGAAUCCUUAAAACGCAGAUCUUGAUCAUUUCUUCGACAUCCUCUCUUCAUCGUUUCAUCUUUUUUUUUUUUUGAAAGAUUCAUCGUUUCAUCUUCCUCAACGGUUCGUCGAUCAAUCAGCACACUACUCCAUAAUUGAUCAAUGAAUCCUCCAGAAAUCCCAUUUAUGUCUUCCUUUCACCUUCCUUCCUCUCAAUUUCUAUAACAUUCCUCCCAAUGGAUAGUAAUCCACCAGAAAGUCUUCCGUAGCCAUUGGCAAUGCCGAAUUUCUAGAUCGAACGAACACACAUGCCUUUCAUAUGUUCAUGUCUGCCUUUCUUCAGGUUCCAACUCCCUUUUUCACAAUAUAUAAACAUAUCCUCUGAUUCUAUGCUCCACCAUCAUACACGACAAAUACAUCACGGCGAGAGAGGCAUGCUUACAGGUAUAGACCCGUAACUAUGAUGAGAUUAUUUGAUUCCCUCAGACUCUAUACGCUUACUAUUGGUUCAGCUAAUUCACCAUAGCCAUCACCCAAUUCUUCAGUGAUGUAUCUGCAGGCUUGGUAGAAGCGGAGCUGCGUUACCAGUGAAUCCAGUUCGGUCAAACAACAGUCUCUGAAGCGGGUCGAAUCAUGGUAUGUAUAUCAAUUCUGUUACUCUCCUCUCCUCAUAGCUGAACCAUCUAUUUCUGCAAUGUUUGUUUCUUUCUUAUUUUCGCUUUGUGGGUUAUUCUUCCGAUGAUCUGGAAUCUGAAAAGUUUCAAGAUUUGCGAUGAAAUCUUCUCACUGACUUUAUAAGUUUAUUUGGUUGCAUUUCAGUUCACUUACACUCAAACCUGGUAAAAUAACUUCUUUCUCUUUAGUUGUAAUUGAUCAAAAUUGUUUAGUUACAAACAUCGGAUGCUCAACUUUGUGUUCGAAACUGUAACUUUUCUGAAAAUAUUGUUAUGUAAAAGUCAAAAGAUUGCAUUUUUAUGUUUCUUGAUAAGAAUAGAAGCCUUAAAAUGGCUAUUGAUCCCAUAAUGUUUAGUUAAGCUUUGUGACAGUGACUGUUAAAUCGCUAACUUUUGUCACCAUGUGUCUCUGUUGGUAACAUCUGAUAGAAAUCCUAGGAAGAUAGCUACAAGGUUACUUGAUCCUUUUCUUGCUCACUUGAAGACAACACAAGAUUAAGUUGCUAAAGGUGGCUACUCAAUUGUUCUCAAGCCUGAGGAUAGUGACGGUGCGACUUGGUUCACUAUUAGUAAGUAAACAUUUGUAAAACACCGUCACUAAUUUCUCACUUAAUCUUUGCUUGGCAGGUUUUGACAACGGUUACAUUCACUGAGAUCCUCCCGUCGACAAAAGCCAUCGUCUCUUUCAAAGUCCCUGACAACAGUUCUGGCAAGGUUUAAAAAAUAAUAGUAAUAACCCUUUUGUGUAUGCAUUUCAGUGGUUUUGAGAUUGAUACCAUCAACUUAUGAAAUCUGUUAACAACUUGAGGUCCAGUACUUCCAUGACCAUGCAGCAGUCUCCGUACCGCAGCUUUGAAGCAGAACCCAUUGAUCGAUGUAACAGCCACUCUAGAUACACCAGUCAUUUGGUGCUGACGCUGGAUAUGACACAUCCUCCAAAACUUUCACCAAGUACAAUGCUAGAAACGUUACAAAGUACACUGAAUCAUUAUUCUCCACUCCUCACGCAAUCCAUCAUUGAAUGCAUAUACCAUUACUUCAUUUCUCUGAAUCCUGGAGAUUACCUCAACUAUAAAAAGGAACCAAAACAGAAUAACCUUCGUCAAAAUACUUUGGCACUGUAUUGUCUACAUGAGAUAACAAUGGUGAGUUUCACAUUAGCUUUUACUUUUGGAAAUCUGUGAACCGUUUUGACAAGGUGAAGCAUAACGUUUUCACUUGAUAACCUCCUCGAAGACCAAAAAAGAGAUCAAGAACUGUUCAGAAACAAAUGAAUGUAAUGUUAUAGCACAAAUAAUGUUACAGCUUGCUUUGUUGCUUAACAUUUUCAUUCUUGGUUGCUGUCUCUUUUCCGGAUUUGGCUAGCAGAGCAAGUAACACAGGCUCUUAUGAAUCCCCUGAAGCUGCGGAAACAUGAUCAGAGGUGUGAUUCCUUGCUUUGUUUUUUUUUCUUCGGUUUCUUCAAUUUAGUGUCCACGCAACUCUUUGUUCUCUGGUUAAUUUCUAUACACAUUGCCACCAUUGAUUCCAGAUUAUAAUAAUUCAUUGUGUUUUGGAGUUCCUGCUGUAGAUAUAUGUCUAAGCCAUUCCUCAUGUUUUGAUGUUUGAUAUAUUGUUAUAACUGAAAGUCAACUGGUACAAAUAUUAUUCUUGGUAUUAUAUAUUGAUUCAAUAUUUUUGAUCCAGUCACUAGAAAGACAAAAGUGAAACUGUGAAGAAAGGUAAUAGUACUCUUUGAUCAAUAUAAGAAUUCCUUUCUUGGUUCGAUGAGUGUGCUAAUCUCACAUGGAUCCUCGACAAUCUUUUACCAAAAAUCCAAACUAAAAGUUGGUUGUUAUAAUACAAGUUUUGUUGUACUUAAGGGAAAUGUUAUGUUAACGAAAUAGAAAAAGAAACUACAAGUCUUACAAACUUAUUACUAACCAAGUAUUUUACUAUUAUAGUUUCAAAAAGAAAAGUAUUUUACUAUUUUCAAUCAAAUGACAUUUUCUAAAAAAUAUGAUAUUAUGAGUACUAAUCACUGAACAUUUAAACCUAUACCGUUUCUAAGUUAGUUAAAAUACAUUUGAUCCCCCUUCUAAAUCAACACAUAUAUUACUAAAAUAUUAAUUUUAUAUAUUUAGUUAUUUACAAUAUAUAAAGUAUCAAUAAUAUUUUGGAUGCAAAAAUUUGAUCAAAUAAAUAUAAGGGGACAUAUUUUCAACCCAUAUAUAAAAAAAUCUCAACACGUUAAAUAAUAAUAAUGUAAUCAGUGAAUAGUUAAUCAAAAAUUUAAGACGAAACAUUUAUAAUUUUCUUAUUUUAAGAGUGUGAACAAUGGUAAAGUAAAAAUAUUUCUUUGUAUGCUUGAGUAUAUGAUAUAUAUUAUAUUUGUUUAGUAAUUUUCACGACACUAUUAAAAAGAAUCCAUUUCAUCAGAAAUAAUAUAGAUUAUUCAAAAUUUCAAUCAAAAAUGAAAAAAAACUAAAA